UACGAAGGGGGCUAGCGUUGCUCGGAAUCACUGGGCGUAAAGGGUGCGUAGGCGGGUCUUUAAGUCAGGGGUGAAAUCCUGGAGCUCAACUCCAGAACUGCCUUUGAUACUGAGGAUCUUGAGUUCGGGAGAGGUGAGUGGAACUGCGAGUGUAGAGGUGAAAUUCGUAGAUAUUGCAAGAACACCAGUGGCGAAGGCGGCUCACUGGCCCGGUACUGACGCUGAGGUGCGAAAGCGUGGGGGGCAAACAGGG
rnacentral:rRNA from 1 species